rnacentral:rRNA from 1 species
GAUGAACGCUGACAGAAUGCUUAACACAUCAGCAAUGGAUUGGUGGCGGACGGGUGAGUAACGCGUAAAGAACUCGCCUCACAGGUAGGGACAACAUUUGGAAACGAAUGCUAAUACCUAAUACUGGGAGAGAGCUUUGCGUCCCAUGAGCUAGUUGGAGAGGUAACGGCGCACCAAGGCGAUGAUGGGUAGCCGGCCUGAGAGGGUGAUCGGCCACAAGGUGGCUGAGACACCGCCCUUACUCCUACGGGAGGCAGGAGGGGGGAAUAGUGGACAAUGGACCAAAGUCUGAUCAAGCAAUUCUGUGUGCACGAUGAAAUUUUCGGAAUGUAAAGUGCUUUCAGUGGGGAAGCGGUACCAACAGAAGAAGUGACGGCUAAAUACGUGCCAGCAGCCGCGGUAAUUC